rnacentral:rRNA from 1 species
GGAUAACGUUUGGAAACGAACGCUAAUACCGCAUGAUAUUAUUGAGCUGCAUGGCUUGAUAAUCAAAGGAGCAAUCCGCUGAAAGAUGGGCUCGCGUCCGAUUAGGUAGUUGGCGGGGCAACGGCCCACCAAGCCGACGAUCGGUAGCCGGACUGAGAGGUUGAACGGCCACAUUGGGACUGAGACACGGCCCAGACUCCUACGGGAGGCAGCAGUGAGGGAUAUUGGUCAAUGGGGGAAACCCUGAACCAGCAACGCCGCGUGAGGGAAGACGGUUUUCGGAUUGUAAACCUCUGUCCUCUGUGAAGAUAAUGACGGUAGCAGAGGAGGAAGCUCCGGCUAACUACGUGCCAGCAGCCGCGGUAAUACGUAGGGAGCAAGCGUUGUCCGGAUUUACUGGGUGUAAAGGGUGCGUAGGCGGCUUUGCAAGUCAGAAGUGAAAUCCAUGGGCUUAACCCAUGAACUGCUUUUGAAACUGCAGAGCUUGAGUGGAGUAGAGGUAGGCGGAAUUCCCGGUGUAGCGGUGAAAUGCGUAGAGAUCGGGAGGAACACCAGUGGCGAAGGCGGCCUGCUGGGCUCUAACUGACGCUGAGGCACGAAAGCGUGGGUAGCAAACAGGAUUAGAUACCCUGGUAGUCCACGCUGUAAACGAUGAUUAGUAGGUGUGGGUGGACUGACCCCAUCCGUGCCGGAG